AUGGCCCUCCGCUUCAGUUCAACCCACCUGCAAAUUUCCAAUCUUCACCAAUUUCAGCUAAUCAGAAUCCUCCACAAUUUAAUCAGCAAUUCAAUCCCGAUGCUUAUGAUGGCCGCGAGAGAACAUUUGCUGGACACAGGAGGAGACCAUCCCAUAGAGGUGGUAAAGGUUGGCGACCAUCCAAAUAAAGGUUACUGUGUAAAGUCAUGUACUGAAGAUUUCCUCCUUGGUGGCUUGGUGGACAAAUAUUUUUUCACCAAGGAUGAAUUGUAA